AGCAGACAUAUUGGAAUAAAAUUUAAAUAAAAUUUUUGUAACAUUUUUGAGAAAAUACAAAUUUGGAUCUAAUAAUGAUUUUAGUUUUCGUACUAAAGUAGCUGUUUGGAUCAAACAUGGAUCACAGGAUCAAAUAUCUCGUCAAGUCAAAAUUAACUGUUCGCUGUAAUACUUAAACGCACAGGUAAGAAGCUCAUGUAAUGAGCGCUCCAUUGACUAUGGAUUGCAACGGUUUCAAGUAUGGAUAGAAAACCGCGCUAUAUGUCCCAACAGAGUCCCGAACUACGAAAUAUGCAGAUACGGCCGAGCUAAAUUAGGACUUGGCCGUACAUGCGUGUUUCCGUCCACCUUCAUAUGAUAAGCUGUGAUCAUAAUGAAGGCAUCUAGCAGACGGUACCGGCCCUCCAAUUUGAUUCAAGGUCAAUGUGGUGGGGAUGCGUGGAUCGCGUUUCGCUCUAAGCUGCUUUUUUAAUAAUAUUCGCCCAAGCAAGUUACUUGAGACUUGCCAACUUCAAAUAGUUCCACCAGUCUCAACAAACAAAUAUAUGCCGCUGUUACGCUUUAACGACUCUUGAGUAUUCGGCUCUAUUUAUGGGUUGGGCUUGUCUGCCUGCCUAAUUAGUAGACUAGGGCUUCACUAGGAGUCCAAUACCCACAAACACUUGGAACCAGAACGAUGGAGAAUAAUUAGAAGUAUGCAGUUCAAAGCUCAGCCCUGCUUUAUUCCU